UACGGAGGGUGCAAGUGUUAUCCGGAUUCAUUGGGUUUAAAGGGUGUGUAGGCGGGGCGAUAAGUCAGUGGUGAAAUCCUACAGCUUAACUGUGGAAGUGCCAUUGAUACUGCCGUCCUUGAGUGUAGUUGCAGCGGGCGGAAUGUGUCAUGUAGCGGUGAAAUGCUUAGAUAUGACACAGAACACCGAUUGCGAAGGCAGCUCGCUAAACUAUUACUGACGCUGAGACACGAAAGCGUGGGGAGCGAACAGGAUUAGAAACCCUGGUAGU
rnacentral:rRNA from 1 species